rnacentral:rRNA from 1 species
GUGCCAGCAGCCGCGGUAAUACGGAGGAUGCAAGCGUUAUCCGGAAUGAUUGGGCGUAAAGAGUCCGUAGGUGGCUUUUCAAGUCUAUUGUUAAAGCGCGAGGCUUAACCUCGUGAAGGCCGUAGAAACUGAAAAGCUUGAGAGCAGUAGGGGCAGAAGGAAUUCCUGGUGUAGCGGUGAAAUGCGUAGAGAUCAGGAAGAACACCGGUGGCGAAAGCGUUCUGCUGGGCUGCAACUGACACUGAGGGACGAAAGCUAGGGGAGCGAAUGGGAUUAGAUACCCUGGUAGUCC